CCAACCACGCCUUCAUUUUGAACUGCUCAGCCAACAUGAGCCAUCACUCUCACAGCCGAUUUACAUUGUGAUCCAAGCAGCCAGUGUAGAAGACACCAAUUUAAUACCAUUACCUGCUCCACCAAGAUGAGCCAAAAAGCAACUUACGUUGCAAACUAGGCAAAUAUUUCAUCGAAAUAUCGUACUGCCUGUGACAAUAUGCACAAACUCAUUACCAGUUCAACAGCUCCACCACGAGCCAAAGCAACCAAAACGCUAUACAAACGCCAUACUAACACCAUUAUUACAACAGCUCAGCCAACAAGAGCCAAUAACUGCACAACCGAUUUACACUGUGCCAAGCCAAAAUAGUAAUCUAUUUCUCUCACCCAAGAUCCAGCAUACCAUCGACUUGCAACUGUUCCACAAUCCCAACUGGAAUCACCGCAUAAAUAACCCAUAACAACUCCGUGGAGUCGCUAAGGACCACCAGAUCCAGCAUACCAUCGACUUGCAACUGUUCCACAAUCCCAACUGGAAUCACCGCAUAAAUAACCCAUAACAACUCCCGUGGAGUCGCUAAGGACCACCAGAUCCAGCAUACCAUCACUUGCAACUGUUCCACAAUCCCAACUGGAAUCACCGCAUAAAUAACCCAUAACAACUCCGUGGACUUGCUAAGGACCACCAGAUCCAGCAUACCAUCGACUGCAACUGUUCCACAAUCCCAACUGGAAUCACCGCAUAAAUAACCCAUAACAACUCCGUGGAGUCGCUAAGGACCACCAGGUUAGUCUAAGUUGGGACUCUUUGCCCAACACUACUUACAUUUUAUGAACCAUUAAUCAUCUCGUUUGAAAGUAUUUAGAUUGUCCUAUGGAGCAGCAUAUAUUGCCGUCAACGACCAGCAGUAAUUUCAAAUAUGGAUAUAUUUGCCUGCCGCUGAUCUGUUUUAUGCAUGUGUGUAAAAUGUACGCACUUUCAUACUGUGUCAAUACCCAGUGCUCCAACGGUGAACAUCUGAUGCCAGCCUCUGAUUCGACUGUGCCAGUGCCAACCGCCCAAAGGACUCCAAUCUUAAACAUAAAUACAAAUAGGUUCCCAAAUUGGGAAGAUAGUCAGACUAGUAUGCUUAAGAUUGUUAAUUCAAAUCCAUGUCUCCUAGUGGCCAAUGCCAAGCUUUUCAAAUAAUAUGUCAAAUUUAAAAUUCCAAUUCUAAAUCAAUUGUAUUUGUACUCAUGCAUGGCCAACGCCAAGUCUUUAAGCAAUAUUGUCAAUUUCCAAAUUUUAAAUUUCAAAUCAAUUGUAUUUGUACUCAUACAUAUACACCAGUCAGGUGGCCAAUGCCAUAUUCAUAAACAAUAUUGUCAAUUCCAAAUUUAAAUACCAAUUGUAUUCGAAUGCACUAAGCGCACCAGCCUACUGGCCAUUACCAAGUCUUCUAAUCAAUAUUGU